UACGUAGGUGGCAAGCGUUAUCCGGAAUUAUUGGGCGUAAAGAGCGCGCAGGUGGUUAAUUAAGUCUGAUGAGAAAGCCCACGGCUUAACCGUGGAGGGUCAUUGGAAACUGGUUGACUUGAGUGCAGAAGAGGGAAGUGGAAUUCCAUGUGUAGCGGUGAAAUGCGUAGAGAUAUGGAGGAACACCAGUGGCGAAGGCGGCUUCCUGGUCUGCAACUGACACUGAGGCGCGAAAGCGUGGGGAGCAAACAGG
rnacentral:rRNA from 1 species